AUGCAACAUUACAUAAAUCUGUCUGAUUACACAAUAUCAAAGUUGCAUGUCAUAUUGAUGUCAAUUCUCUAUGUAUUUGUGAUUUUCUUGUUCAUGUCAGACCUCCCUCAACAUUCACUGAUUCUCGAUGUGAGAACAAGGUGGAAUUCUCUCUACCUAAUGAUGGAGAGAUUCCUUGAACAAUACCCUGCAAUACAAGCAGCCAGCUUGGACCAACGCCUGAGAAAGAAUAUGGAGAGGGACAGGCUUUAUCGGCUGACAGAUGGUGAUUUCACCAAGGCAGAAGACUUCAUCAGGCUGAUGCAGGUUCUGUACACCUGCACGCUCUGUGUUUCCACUGAAAAAAGCCCAACAGCCGGACAGAUCCUGCCGAUCAUCCAAAAGCUGGAGAAACACUUCGCUGCUGUAAAUGGAGACACAGCAUUUGUAGCUGACUUGAAGAAAAGGGUCUGGGGAAACAUGUCUACCCGGUACAAGAAUGAGGACAUCAGGUUCUUCUUGGAAGAAGCCACUGCCUUAGAUCCCCGCUUCAAGAAUAAGAUGGACAACAACACCGCAGUCUGGGAACGGAUCAAGGGGAAGUUGCUGGCAAACUCUGAAGAGUCGGUGGCAGUCAAUCAUGACCAUUCAGAAGAGGUUGGUGUGAUGCAGGGCGAGGGAAACCAGGAAGGUGUGAAGACUGAGAGCGAGGAGGAAGAGGAGAAUCAGCCUCCUCCUUCCAAACAAUCGAAAAAGUCUCCACUGGAGGAGCUUUUUGCUGAGGAGGAUGCAUGAAGAGGACCUCACAAGAGGGGUUGAUGUCCAUGGAAAGUCGUGCUGAAAGGGAGAUCCAGACGUACCUGGAAACGCCACCAAUCAUCACAUCGUCUGACCCUGCAGCCUGGUUCUGGACCCAGACACAAACUUAUCCUUUACUGUCAUGUCUGGCCUUCUCAUAUUUAUGUGUCCAGGCCUCCUCAACACCUAGUGAACGGGUGUUUUCUACUGCAGGAAACACAAUCUGUGCGGAACGGUCGCGCUUACUGCCUGAGAAGGCAGACAUGAUAAUCUUCCUAAACAAGAACUGUUGUUAAUGAUUUGUCACAACUGCGCCAGGGUUUGAGUUUGUUUUAUUUUGUUACAUAUACAUCCACCUGGGCUGUAGCUCUUUGCUUUUUAGACUGCUGCCAACUUGUGUCACUUCAGCAGAAUUCAGUUAUAGUUACAGUUAGGGACCCUCGGCAAUGUGAAUAAAUAUAAUGG
rnacentral:lncRNA from 1 species